rnacentral:tRNA from 1 species
GCUUGUCUAGUUCAGUUGGUAGAGUGCAAGGCUUUUAACCUUGAGGUUGUGGGUUCGAGCCCAUGGUGGGUG